rnacentral:lncRNA from 1 species
GACAAGUGUGUCAUGACACUCUUUGCCUUCUUGAACAAGCUCUUUGCAACAAGGAAUGGAUACAACUCCAUCUCCAAAAACUUGAGAAAUGAUCUUGAGCGCACAGUUUGGACUGAUUUUAACAACACAUUGAUCCCAUAACUUUUUUGGCUCAUUUUCUUCUACAGCUAAUGAAGGUACACAUGUAAUCGCCACAACUAGAACGACCAAAGACAACACAAUAAAGUUAAGCUUCGCCAUGGUUGUUAUGUGUUUGAGGAUUUACAGUUUAAUUUUUCUCAAGUUAAAGAAAGAAAUAAGUU